UACGUAGGGGGCUAGCGUUGUCCGGAAUCAUUGGGCGUAAAGAGCGUGUAGGCGGCCCGGUAAGUCCGCUGUGAAAGUCGGGGGCUCAACCCUCGAAUGCCGGUGGAUACUGUCGGGCUAGAGUGCGGAAGAGGCGAGUGGAAUUCCAGGUGUAGCGGUGAAAUGCGUAGAUAUCUGGAGGAACACCGGUGGCGAAGGCGGCAUCCUGGACCGACACUGACGCUGAUGAGCGAAAGCCAGGGGAGCAAACGGG
rnacentral:rRNA from 1 species